rnacentral:rRNA from 1 species
AUUGAACGCUGGCGGAAUGCUUUACACAUGCAAGUCGAACGGCAGCACGGGGGCAGCCCUGGUGGCGAGUGGCGAACGGGUGAGUAAUACAUCGGAACGUGCCCGGUCGUGGGGGAUAACGUAGCGAAAGUUACGCUAAUACCGCAUACGAUCUGAGGAUGAAAGCGGGGGACCUUCGGGCCUCGCGCGAUCGGAGCGGCCGAUGUCAGAUUAGGUAGUUGGUGGGGUAAAGGCCUACCAAGCCGACGAUCUGUAGCUGGUCUGAGAGGAAGACCAGCCACACUGGAACUGAGACACGGCCCAGACUCCUACGGGAGGCAGCAGUGGGGAAUUUUGGACAAUGGGCGCAAGCCUGAUCCAGCCAUGCCGCGUGCAGGACGAAGGCCUUCGGGUUGUAAACUGCUUUUGUACGGAACGAAAAGGCUCUGGCUAAUACCUGGGGCUCAUGACGGUACCGUAAGAAUAAGCACCGGCUAACUACGUG